CUCUGCCGCCGCCGCCGCCGCCGCCUGCAGCACUACACUGCCGCUCCCACCCAGGCUCCGCUCGCUGCUCCAGCCAAACUUCUGCAAACCAUGUGCAGCCGAGGCGAGGAAACUUCUCUCCACCUAUUGGGGCUGCAAGCUUGAGUCACAAGCCCCUUGUUUACAUAAAGUGUUUAGGAAUGAAAACGUGUUUAUUGCUGUAGAAAAAGCCUCUGGAUAUAGAUGCAUCCACCACAGGGUCCCAGCGCCAUGACCAUCCCACCUCAGCCCUGGACCGGGCACAUGCAUACCUGCGUACUCAAGGAAGUCUCUGGAUGCCAAUGCAGAACUUUGCUAUGUGGGUCAGUUUCACAGAGUGUGAAGUUUAACUGCUCUGCCACUGUGUGGCCUUGUUUUCUCUCUGAAAAUUAGUAGGGGAGGUUCUUGUUUUUGAUAGUUGGUCCAUAUCGUGCAUGUGUGUGUACUACAGAGUGCGUUGCCUUUGCCAGAGAAAGAGACAAGGAGUGGAAAGGGCAUCCCUCGUGGGGCAUGGUCACAGUGCUGUCCCUUCUCCAUGUCUGCCUCCUCUUGGGAUUUUGGGUACACAUGCAGAUGUGCCCAGUGAAUUUCUCAGGUCCCUAGGUCUGAGCUGCAUGGUUUGGCCAUGUGGGAUCUGGCUGCCUUAACCACCAAGCCAUGGAACUGGCUCCAGCGGAUGAUGUGUAUUAAAGAUCUGUAGAGUUGCAGCAAAGUCUAUAAUUAGAAAAUGGGGCUGGGGCCAGCCAGGUGGUGUGGUGGUUAAGGUGACUAGAUCCCACAUGGCUGACUGCAUGGUUUGAGUUGGACCACAUGGUUUGCGUGCAUGCCCAAAAUGCCAAGAGGAGAAUGGAAGACAAGAGGUUGUGGCAUUGCCACCCACCUGGGAGGGCAUUUUCUCAUUCUUUUUCUUUCCCACCUUCUUUUUCCCUCCCUCCCUCC